rnacentral:rRNA from 1 species
UACGGAAGGCAGCAGUGGGGAAUAUUGCACAAUGGGCGCAAGCCUGAUGCAGCCAUGCCGCGUGUAUGAAGAAGGCCUUCGGGUUGUAAAGUACUUUCAGCGGGGAGGAAGGCGAUGCGGUUAAUAACCGCGUCGAUUGACGUUACCCGCAGAAGAAGCACCGGCUAACUCCGUGCCAGCAGCCGCGGUAAUACGGAGGGUGCAAGCGUUAAUCGGAAUUACUGGGCGUAAAGCGCACGCAGGCGGUCUGUUAAGUCAGAUGUGAAAUCCCCGGGCUUAACCUGGGAACUGCAUUUUGAACUGGCAGGCUUGAGUCUUGUAGAGGGGGUGAAAUUCCAGGUGUAGCGGUGAAAUGCGUAGAGAUCUGGAGGAAUACCGGUGGCGAAGGCGGCCCCUGGGACAAAGACUGACGCUCAGGUGCGAAAGCGUGGGGAGCGAAACAGGAUUAGGAUACC